rnacentral:rRNA from 1 species
AGCGUACACGGUGGAUGCCCUGGCAGUCAGAGGCGAUGAAGGACGUGCUAAUCUGCGAAAAGCGUCGGUAAGGUGAUAUGAACCGUUAUAACCGGCGAUGUCCGAAUGGGGAAACCCAGUGCAAUUCGUUGCACUAUCGUUAACUGAAUACAUAGGUUAACGAGGCGAACCGGGGGAACUGAAACAUCUAAGUACCCCGAGGAAAAGAAAUCAACCGAGAUUCCCCCAGUAGCGGCGAGCGAACGGGGAGCAGCCCAGAGUCUGAAUCAGCUUGUGUGUUAGUGGAACGGUCUGGAAAGUCCGACGGUACAGGGUGAUAGUCCCGUACACCAAAAUGCACAGGCUGUGAACUCGAAGAGUAGGGCGGGACACGUGGUAUCCUGUCUGAAUAUGGGGGGACCAUCCUCCAAGGCUAAAUACUCCUGACUGACCGAUAGUGAACCAGUACCGUGAGGGAAAGGCGAAAAGAACCCCGGCGAGGGGAGUGAAAAAGAACCUGAAACCGUGUACGUACAAGCAGUGGGAGCACCUUCGGGUGUGACUGCGUACCUUUUGUAUAAUGGGUCAGCGACUUAUAUUCUGUAGCAAGGUUAACCGUAUAGGGGAGCCGCAGGGAAACCGAGUCUUAACUGGGCGUUAAGUUGCAGGGUAUAGACCCGAAACCCGGUGAUCUAGCCAUGGGCAGGUUGAAGGUUGGGUAACACUAACUGGAGGACCGAACCGACUAAUGUUGAAAAAUUAGCGGAUGACUUGUGGCUGGGGGUGAAAGGCCAAUCAAACCGGGAGAUAGCUGGUUCUCCCCGAAAGCUAUUUAGGUAGCGCCUCGUGAACUCAUCUUCGGGGGUAGAGCACUGUUUCGGCUAGGGGGUCAUCCCGACUUACCAACCCGAUGCAAACUACGAAUACCGAAGAAUGUUAUCACGGGAGACACACGGCGGGUGCUAACGUCCGUCGUGAAGAGGGAAACAACCCAGACCGCCAGCUAAGGUCCCAAAGUCAUGGUUAAGUGGGAAACGAUGUGGGAAGGCACAGACAGCCAGGAUGUUGGCUUAGAAGCAGCCAUCAUUUAAAGAAAGCGUAAUAGCUCACUGGUCGAGUCGGCCUGCGCGGAAGAUGUAACGGGGCUAAACCAUGCACCGAAGCUGCGGCAGCGACACGAUGUGUUGUUGGGUAGGGGAGCGUUCUGUAAGCCUGCGAAGGUGACCUGUGAGGGUUGCUGGAGGUAUCAGAAGUGCGAAUGCUGACAUAAGUAACGAUAAAGCGGGUGAAAAGCCCGCUCGCCGGAAGACCAAGGGUUCCUGUCCAACGUUAAUCGGGGCAGGGUGAGUCGACCCCUAAGGCGAGGCCGAAAGGCGUAGUCGAUGGGAAACAGGUUAAUAUUCCUGUACUUGGUGUUACUGCGAAGGGGGGACGGAGAAGGCUAUGUUAGCCGGGCGACGGUUGUCCCGGUUUAAGCAUGUAGGCUGGUUAUCCAGGCAAAUCCGGAUAAUCAAGGCUGAGGUGUGAUGACGAGGCACUACGGUGCUGAAGUAACAAAUGCCCUGCUUCCAGGAAAAGCCUCUAAGCAUCAGGUAACAUCAAAUCGUACCCCAAACCGACACAGGUGGUCAGGUAGAGAAUACCAAGGCGCUUGAGAGAACUCGGGUGAAGGAACUAGGCAAAAUGGUGCCGUAACUUCGGGAGAAGGCACGCUGGUGUGUAGGUGAAGUCCCUGCGGAUGGAGCUGAGACCAGUCGAAGAUACCAGCUGGCUGCAACUGUUUAUUAAAAACACAGCACUGUGCAAACACGAAAGUGGACGUAUACGGUGUGACGCCUGCCCGGUGCCGGAAGGUUAAUUGAUGGGGUUAUCCGUAAGGAGAAGCUCUUGAUCGAAGCCCCGGUAAACGGCGGCCGUAACUAUAACGGUCCUAAGGUAGCGAAAUUCCUUGUCGGGUAAGUUCCGACCUGCACGAAUGGCGUAAUGAUGGCCAGGCUGUCUCCACCCGAGACUCAGUGAAAUUGAACUCGCUGUGAAGAUGCAGUGUACCCGCGGCAAGACGGAAAGACCCCGUGAACCUUUACUAUAGCUUGACACUGAACAUUGAGCCUUGAUGUGUAGGAUAGGUGGGAGGCUUUGAAGCGUGGACGCCAGUCUGCGUGGAGCCAACCUUGAAAUACCACCCUUUAAUGUUUGAUGUUCUAACGUGGGCCCCUGACCGGGGUUGCGGACAGUGUCUGGUGGGUAGUUUGACUGGGGCGGUCUCCUCCCAAAGCGUAACGGAGGAGCACGAAGGUUAGCUAAUCCUGGUCGGACAUCAGGAGGUUAGUGCAAUGGCAUAAGCUAGCUUGACUGCGAGCGUGACGGCGCGAGCAGGUGCGAAAGCAGGUCAUAGUGAUCCGGUGGUUCUGAAUGGAAGGGCCAUCGCUCAACGGAUAAAAGGUACUCCGGGGAUAACAGGCUGAUACCGCCCAAGAGUUCAUAUCGACGGCGGUGUUUGGCACCUCGAUGUCGGCUCAUCACAUCCUGGGGCUGAAGUAGGUCCCAAGGGUAUGGCUGUUCGCCAUUUAAAGUGGUACGCGAGCUGGGUUUAGAACGUCGUGAGACAGUUCGGUCCCUAUCUGCCGUGGGCGCUGGAGAAUUGAGGGGGGCUGCUCCUAGUACGAGAGGACCGGAGUGGACGCAUCACUGGUGUUCGGGUUGUCAUGCCAAUGGCACUGCCCGGUAGCUAAAUGCGGAAGAGAUAAGUGCUGAAAGCAUCUAAGCACGAAACUUGCCCCGAGAUGAGUUCU